GUGAGGAAUAUUGGUCAAUGGGCGGGAGCCUGAACCAGCCAAGUCGCGUGAAGGAAGAAGGAUCUAUGGUUCGUAAACUUCUUUUGCAGGGGAAUAAAGUGCAGGACGUGUCCUGUUUUGUAUGUACCCUGAGAAUAAGGAUCGGCUAACUCCGUGCCCGCAGCCGCGGUAAUACGGAGGAUCCGAGCGUUAUCCGGAUUUAUUGGGUUUAAAGGGUGCGUAGGUGGUUUGAUAAGUCAGCGGUGAAAGUUUGCAGCUUAACUGUAAAAAUGCCGUUGAAACUGUCGGACUUGAGUGUAAAUGAGGUAGGCGGAAUGCGUGGUGUAGCGGUGAAAUGCAUAGAUAUCACGCAGAACUCCGAUUGCGAAGGCAGCUUACUAAGCUACAACUGACACUGAAGCACGAAAGCGUGGGGAUCAAACAGGAUUAGAUACCCUUGUAGUCC
rnacentral:rRNA from 1 species